GUAAUAUAUUCACCUACUUCCACUUCAACCUUCACAUCCAAAAAAUGAAAGGAGCUAUUAUUUUCUUGCUCUAUUCGUAGCGUAAGGCCUAAAGUUUUAUCAGUUAGAGCAUCCACUAUAUGUUUAUUAUGCUGUUUUUAAUCUUUCCAUAUCAUGCAUAUAUCGCCUACAUACCUUACGUACAUUUUAAAGUCUUCCUUAAAACUGUCCAGUACUAUGCUUUCUUUAAACCUUAUCACUAGUUCGGCCAUUACCCCCGCAAGCGGUCCUCCUAUUGGCACUCCUCAUUGUUCCAAGGAACAACGAGGAGUGCCAAUCCUUGGAACUGGAAGUAUGAGUUAUAGGUUAUUAAAUGUACGACUUCUCUCAACGUGUUAG
rnacentral:lncRNA from 1 species